rnacentral:rRNA from 1 species
GACAGAGGGUGCAAACGUUGUUCGGAAUUACUGGGCGUAAAGCGCGUGUAGGCGGCCCUGCAAGUCGGGUGUGAAAUCCCACGGCUCAACCGUGGAAGUGCACUCGAAACUGCAGGGCUAGAGUCCUGGAGAGGAAGGUGGAAUGCUUGGUGUAGAGGUGAAAUUCGUAGAUAUCAAGCGGAACACCGGUGGCGAAGGCGGCCUUCUGGACAGUUACUGACGCUCAGGCACGAAAGCGUGGGGAGCAAAAGGG